UCUCAACUACCACUCAAUGGACAAAAAAUCAAAAUACAAUGCCUUUUUACGAAUAUAGACAAGAUGAAAACCACAUUAGGUACACGAAGAUGUUACCAUGAAUAGAAGAAAUAAGUUAAUCCAUUUCUGACAUUUAAAAACAGCCAAACAAGAAGAGAACAGAACUGAUGAUGAUUUCAUUCCCAUGUGCCAUGUUUGCUAAGGACCUGUGAAAAAGAAUUUGUAAUGAUCAAAGAAGAAAACAACCAGUUAAUAUAUUCCUCUGAGGUAGGAAAACAAAGCAACAACUUAACUGAAAGGGUGCAACGAGAGACUGUUUCCUGAAGUUACUUCUUUGAUUGAUUUGAAAUCAUUUACAAACAGUAAAACUAAUUUGUUUGAAAAUAUAUAAAUAUCUAUGUAUGCUAUAUAUGUAGGUGUAUAUGAUCUCUUUUAAAUUUUUACAAUGUUUAUAAGCAAAUCUUAUGUUUUUUAAGAUGAUCAGUUUAUUAUUUGUGUAUAUUUGGUGCAUGAAAUAACCAUAUUUAUGAAAUUUUAUAAUAAAUAGUUAAAACGUU